rnacentral:ncRNA from 1 species
CCCAUCUGGACCGAGGACCGCGCCUUCGGGCUAGGAUGCUGGCGUAAUGGUUGCAAGCGACCCGUCUUGAAACACGGACCAAGGAGUCUAACAUCUAUGCGAGUGUUUGGGCGUUAAACCCAUACGCGGAAUGAAAGUGAACGUAGGUGAGAACCCGUCAGGGUGCAUCAUCGACCGAUCCUGAUGUCUUCGGAUGGAUUUGAGUACGAGCAUAGCUGUU